rnacentral:rRNA from 1 species
CGGCGGACGGGUGAGUAACGCGUGGGUAACCUGCCUCGUACAGGGGGAUAACAGUUGGAAACGGCUGCUAAUACCGCAUAAGCGCACAGUACCGCAUGGUACCGUGUGAAAAACUCCGGUGGUAUGAGAUGGACCCGCGUCUGAUUAGCUAGUUGGUGGGGUAACGGCCUACCAAGGCGACGAUCAGUAGCCGACCUGAGAGGGUGACCGGCCACAUUGGGGCUGAGACACGGCCCAA